rnacentral:sRNA from 8 species
UAUCUCUCCGUACGGGGAAGGAUGAGAAGCUUUGACUAAGGUUCGAUUCGAGCGCAGCGAGAAAGCGUUGCCGCAGGCAACGACCCGAAGGGUGAGGAGCGGAGCGACGAAUAAUCCUUCCCCCACCACCA